UACGUAGGGCGCAAGCGUUAUCCGGAAUUAUUGGGCGUAAAGAGCUCGUAGGCGGUUUGUCGCGUCUGCCGUGAAAGUCCGGGGCUCAACUCCGGAUCUGCGGUGGGUACGGGCAGACUAGAGUGAUGUAGGGGAGACUGGAAUUCCUGGUGUAGCGGUGAGAUGCGCAGAUAUCGAGAGGAACACCAGUGGCGAAGGCGAGUCUCUGGACAUUUCCUAACGCUGAGGCACGAAAGCCAGGGGAGCAAACGGG
rnacentral:rRNA from 1 species